rnacentral:rRNA from 1 species
CAGUCGCCGCGUAAAACCAGCACCUCGAGUGGUCAGGAGGUUUAUUGGGCCUAAAGCAUCCGUAGCCGGUUGCAUAAGUUUUCGGUUAAAUCUAUGCGCUUAACGUAUAGGCCGCCGAAAAUACUGUGCAGCUAGGGAGUGGGAGAGGUACACGGUACUCGAUAGGAAGGGGUAAAAUCCUUUGAUCUAUUGAUGACCACCUGUGGCGAAGGCGGUGUACCAGAACACGUUCGACGGUGAGGGAUGAAAGCUGGGGGAGCAAACCGGAUUAGAUACCCGUGUAGUCCCUGUCUCUUAUACA